UGACCUUUAGGGAAUACAUACGUAUAGGU
rnacentral:sRNA from 1 species